AUUGAACGCUGGCGGCAGGCCUAACACAUGCAAGUCGAACGAGUGGCGGACGGGUGAGUAAUGUCUGGGCAACUGCCUGAUGGAGGGGGAUCACUACUGGAAACGGUAUCUAAUCCCGCAUACCAUCGGAUGUGCCCAGAUGGGAUUAGCUAGUGGGUGGGGUAAAGGCUCACCUAGGCGACGAUCCCUAGCUGGUCUGAGAGGAUGACCAGCCACACUGGAACUGAGACACGGUCCAGACGCCGACGGGAGGCAGCAGUGGGGAAUAUUGCACAAUGGGCGCAAGCCUGAUGCAGCCAUGCCGCGUGUAUGAAGAAGGCCGUCGGGUUGUAAAGUACUUUCAGCGGGGAGGCGUUACCCGCAGAAGAAGCACCGGCUAACUCCGUGCCAGCAGCCGCGGUAAUAC
rnacentral:rRNA from 1 species